GCCAGGUGUGGUAGUGCACAUCUGUAGUCCCAGCUACUUGGGAGGCUGAAGCAGGAGGAUUGUUUGAGCCCAAGACUUCAAGACUGCAGUGAGCUGUGAUUAAGCCACUGCACUCCAGCCUGGGUGACAGAGCAAGACCCUGUCUCUA
ensembl:misc_RNA Metazoa_SRP Metazoan signal recognition particle RNA